rnacentral:rRNA from 1 species
UACAUGUGGGGCAAGCGUUGUUCGGAAUUACUGGGCAUAAAGGGUGCGUAGGUGGUUUGUUAAGUCAGGGGUGAAAUCCCGCGGCCCAACCGUGGAACUGCCUUUGAUACUGGCGAACUUGAGUGCGUGAGGGGUAGGGGGAACGAGCAGUGUAGCGGUGAAAUGCGUAGAUAUCGGGAGGAACACCUGAGGCGAAGGCGGGCUACUGGGCCGAUACUGACGCUGCAGCGCGAAAGCCAGGGGAGCGAACGGG